rnacentral:rRNA from 1 species
AUUGAACGCUGGCGGCAGGCCUAACAUAUGCAAGUUGAACGAGUGGCGGACGGGUGAGUAAUGUCUGGGAAACUGCCCGAUGGAGGGGGGUAACUACUGGAAUCGGUAGCUAAUCCCGUAUACCAUCGGAUGUCCCCAGAGCGGACUAGCUAGUAGGUGGGGUAACGGCGCACCUAGGCGACGAUCCCUAGCUGGUCUGAGAGGAUGACCAGCCACACUGGAACUGGGACAAGGGACAGACACCUUGAUGAGGGAUCAGUGGGGAAUAUGGCGCAAGGGGGACAAGCCUGAUGCAGCCAGGCGGGGUGUAUGGAGAAGACAUUCGGUUUGUAAAGUAAUGUCAGCGAGGAGGCGUGACUCGCUGGAGAAGCACCGGGUAACUCCGUGCCAGCAGCCGCGGUAAUAC